AAGUACAGGAGUUGGGGGGCGAUGGUGGUCAUUGAAUACAGGCGGAGCAGACCCAGGGGGGGAAAAAGCUGAGUACUGCUCGUCUGUACUAGAAGGGCAUAUCGAUAGGAUCCACACCAAUCCUCUCGAAAUCUAGCUCGUCGAAAAACACAUCUGCGGAGAGGAGGAGAUGGACGGAGAAGCCGAUGGAGUGGAUGAAGCUCACGAACUGGCGGCUUCGUGCAACGUACAAAAGGAGUCGGACAAGAUAACGAGGCGGGAGCGGGAGGCCAGUGGAACCAGCAAGAUGCGCGGACUCGGCGGGAAGAGAGGCCGCGAGCUAGACGCUGCCAUUGAGAUCAAGAAAAUGAAUCGAGAUCUAUCAAUGGAUUGUGCGGGAGGUCCUGCGGAUGCUGUUAGCUGGAAGCCAAGGGGCACUGUUGCUGAUACAUCGUUCAACCAUAGGUACCUGACGGACGUGACCAGAAGAUGGUAUAAAGAUGUUCCUGAUAUGAUCAAAGUAAUCGAGCCUCUCAAUCUAGGAAGCAUACAUAAACUUGACACCAUGGGCCUGGUGCUCCGUGAUUUUGGCAUGUACUUGCUAAAACACCUGGACCCAGAGACUAUGGAUCUAGAUGUGGGUGGCGGUGACAAAAUAAAAAUAGAUGAGGACCUGAUUUGUUCCAUAGCAGGGUGAACCACGGGGUUAAGAAGAGUAUUAUGAGAGAGGCGGCCCAUAAGUUGCUAGGCACAGGUCUAGGCAAGAGUAGCAACUUCCCCAUUGCGAUGCUCCGCAAGAUCUUGAUGACCUCGGACAUGAAAAGUAUAGAUUCGGACAGUGGCAAGGAUAGGAUACGAGUUGCGUACACUAUGCUCGUUAUGGCGACAUUCCUGACCCCGACAGGAGGGACAGCAAAGGUGUCCGAUGAAGCGCUCAGUGUGAUCAGCGAUCCUAGCAAGAUUGGCUCGUUUGACUGGGCAAAGUUGGUGGUGGAGGUACUGCAAGAGGGGGCGAAGAGGGUUCAAUCAGGGCUGAAUUUUGCCCAACCGAAAGUUGAAGUGCAGGGUUGCUUACAUUCCGAUGGUUUUGUUUCCCAUCCUGCAAUCAAAUUUAACUUACAUCACGUUCUACACCAUGCAAAUGCAGAUCGCUUACCUGGACUUUAUGGAGAGGAAGCUGAGGAAUAAUGUUGAUCAGCCGACCCCGAGGGUUGAGCAUUAUUCUGAAUUUGUUUUAAAGGAUUUGAUGAAAACUCAUGCGCCCUGGGCUGCUGCGCAGGAUAAAGAACAGAUGAUAGUUUUUUCAACGAAUUGUGGUUAAAUUUAGGCGAGCGUGUCCAGGGUGUUAAUGCUUUUACUCCGGAAGAUAUGAGGAAGAUGUAGGUGGAACAGAAACAGUGACUCCAUGCAGCCUAGAUUUGGCAGUGGUACCAGGAACUACUGCGAAUGCAUCCGGUCCCCCUGCUGGCCCAUCUAGCACAGAUGGCGCAGGUGGCCUUCGAGUUUCACCUUUGCUGAACUCUACUGGUGGUCCAUGUCCAUCAACUCCAUACCUUGGACUAGUCACGGCGUCUAGCCCAGUGGGCAUCAAAAUAAAUACAGAUGAUGCAGAAAUGGAGAUGGGAGACGCAGAGAAUUGGCAAGUUGACUGUCGGCUAGAUAUAAAUGAUCGUGCAGUAUUUGACAGCACGCCACCGAGGCCAGCAAAACUGAUGCCAGUAAGGAAAACGCCGACAAUAGCGCCCACAGGCUCAUGUGUUUUACUUGUUGCUGACGAAGAAACCGCGAUAAGCGAUAUUGGCUCCGAAGGGUUAUACAUCUCGGAAGACGAACCUGUUUGGGAUGUGGGUAAUGCCAUAUCUGCUGGGACGACGAUUGCGAGGUCAGAACAAUGGGGCAGCGACAUGAUAUUGCCUUUUGCCAUGGGGCUUAGCCAUAAACUACCGAGCUUGGAUGCAUGCAUGGAUCUCUACAAGUCGCUUAUGGAUCUCCAAGAACCGGAGACCAUGAAAUACUGGUUCAGGCAUCUAUUCCCAACCGAGAUCAAGAUGAGCGGCGAAAAAAAUGCAACACAUCUUUAGUGGUGAUAGACCUUGGUGCCACGUCGCCAUGGAUGCAUCAUGGCGCCUUCUGAGUGAGCUUGAUGACGAAAUGAUACAACCGUGGGGAACACCCCAAUGGAGACAUCUACUGACCCCAAUGUUCGCGAUCCAGGUCAUGUACACUGGUGACCAAGUCACUUGGGAAAAAGUUUACAAGAUGUUCUCCGGAUGCAAGUACAAUUACGACGUCAGCAAAUGCUGAAUGAUAAUGUUACCUGUUGUCCUGGAAGCAGCAUGGUCGCUCUAUGUGUUUGAUCAACUCACCCAAAUGGUCACGGUGCUUGACCCCAUGAACACUCAUUCAGAGUUGGCUGAUUACGUCUGCAAACACAAGAGUGUGGUGCAUGACAUGCUGCGGGCACUUGGAAGUAUAAAACUUAGCCUCGGUGGUGGGUGGGUGCAUAUAGGAGAUGAUUGGGAGAUAGUCUACAACUCAUGCAUGCAUGAACCUAGUACCAGGAUUGAGACAGGGGUUUAUAUGCUUCAUUACGCAAGGGAGUUUGAUGGCAACACACUGUCUGUCAUGCCAACCAACGAUGGACUCUCUGAUAGCCUGGCAAUGACAAUGUACAGACUGCUAAAAAUGAAGGGCAACUUCGGAGACAAACCUGCCGUCUAAUACAACUAAGAUGGACUCUGAAAUCGUCUGCGUAUCAAUUACCUACAAGUUAAUUCCAGGAUCUAUUAUGUUAUGGGCGACCGUGAUGCCGUUUGAUCAGUCAAUUUUCACGUUUGCACGAACCGAUACUGCCUACACCUCGAUCGUUGCUAGUUUCUGCUUUGAAGAAGCUGACCUGUGUUUUAUUUUGUCCAGUAGGUUGGAAUGAGUUGCCUCUAUCUUUUGGUUUUUA